rnacentral:lncRNA from 1 species
UCCAUCAUAAACUACUAAGUCACAUUUCAUAACUUAGGAUCAAAAUAAAAUUAAACAUUGCCACCUCAUAUUGGCAUACCAAACAAGUAUAUAUACAUUGUCUACAACAUGUAUCUUAAUAAUCUACAUUAGGUUUGUCUAUACACAACAAAAGAAUACCCAACUUCCAGCGGAGAGACUCGGAUGAAUGUACAGCUACUGAAUGCCGAGACACCUAGCAAAAGAUGGAUGCAAGUCUACAAGGACACCUCAUCCUAGUUAUCGGCUGCCUCAUGAUCUGAAAACAUGAAGUUGAAAACGGUGAGUAUAAACCCAGUGAGUGAACAAGGAAGGGAACAAGCAACCAUAAGGGAGAAUUUAAAAUCAUGAUGCACUUGUUUAUAAAACAAUGCAAUUUAAUUUCAUUCAUAUUGAAAACCCCUAAUUGAACCCUUAAAUAUUAAUCACUUGGUAAUGAUGAACCAUACACGAAAAGGCAUUUUCGCUGCAGCGUGAAUUUUUGCUGCAGCGACGUUGGGAUUAAGUUAUUAGCCGAAUGAGGGUUCCUCAACUGGCCGAGGGUUUCUCACCAAACCUACUCAUUUUAAACUUAAUUCACUUAUUCCUUAAUGUUGAAAGUCCAAGCUCAACUAUGGUACCAAAAAAAUAGAAAAUGGAGCAGCAAUCGAACCAAAAAGGAAACAAAACAAAAAGUUUUCAUUGCAGCAAGAAUGAAUCUCCCUGCAGCGAAAUUUUGGUCCCAAAAUAGAAUGUUUCUCAUUGCAGCGAGAAUGCAUUCUGGCUGCAGCAAGAAUGCAUUUUCACUGCAGCGAGAACCAAACUGGUGAGGCUAUCAAAAACCUGAGAGUUUCUCGCUGAAGCGAGAAUGAAUUUCGCUACAGCGAGAACAGAGCAACAUGAACAAGAGUUCCAUUCCCCCAAUAAAAGCCAUCCUGUUAAAAUGACACCAACAACAUGAAACACAUGAAAUCCCCAAAGUGCAAUGUAUCUAAUUUCACAUAUAUUUCAAUCAUAUAUCAUAUUCAUGCUCUUUUCAUUUCAUAAGUAAAGAUAUGCAUACAUACAUAAAUAACAUCCAUAUCAUCAUAAUCACACCCGACUCAUGUACAUCCCCCCACAUCGUGCACACGGGCACUAGCAUCAUCCAUAUCUUACACCACCAUCAUCAUCGGCAUGUGCAUCCCCCCCACAUCGUGCACACACACGGUUACAAUCAUCAUACACAAUGUCAACUAUCAUGCACAACAUAUAUAUAUAUCAUCAUGAUGCAAUAGUGCAUGAAUCCAUAGCAACCACAUAUCAUAACACAAAACCAUUUAGCAAAAGCUUGUUCCCAAGGCACUUAUUUUAGGAAAAGUUUAUACAAAAUCAUUCAAAUGUGUGAUAAGUAUAUUAUAUUCCCAAACAAGUUUUGAAGGCAGUUCACUCACUGGUAUAUUGUUGAGCUUUUAGCUGACUCUAAUUUCCCUAAUGAUCCAAUUGGGGUGAUGGGGCUUCGUUAAAACCUACCAUCAAAUUAAAAUUACCAUAAUGUCAAUUCAUACUUAUAAACCCUAAAAGCUAUCCCUUAGCAAGCUUUCAAUUGCCACUUUAAAUGGUUAUCUACGUUCACUAUCUUAAUCACUAUAAAAGGAAUGAACAUACUCAACAAUAAAACAGGUCAUAAUCCCAAUUACUAGCCAUUAUUCACAAUUAAAAAUCAAGCUUGGUUCAUCACUCACCCUAGGGUUUCUUUGUAGUUGAAUUCUCUUCUAAUAGCUUUCAAACAAAUGGGGUAAUUCUCUCUUUCUCUUUCUAGAAUGCCCAACUAGUGAGAGAAAGUAUGGAAAUAAGAUUUAUCAAGGGUUUUGAAGUGAGAGAGUGAAAUAAUACAAGGGUUCUAGUCAAAAGAGCACAAAGGUAUGAAAACUAGAGUUAGAGAGAGAAAAUUAUGCAAGCUCCAAAUUAAGUGUCACGACCCAAAUUUCGAGUCAUGACCGACGCAUGGACCCAAUGGACAUAGUCCACUAAGCCCAAGCAAGCCUAUUAAUCUGACAUAUUCAUCAUUCCAUCAUAAACUGCUAAGUCAUAUAUCAUAACUUAGAAUCAAAAUAAUAUUGAACAUUGCCCCUCAUACUGGCAUACCAAACAAGUGUAUAUACACUGUCUACAACAUGUAUCUUAAUAAUUCACAUUAGGUUCGUCUAUACAUAACAAAAGAAGACUCGAUGUCCAGCGGAGAAACUUGACGAAUGUACACUUACUAAAUGUUGAGACACCUACUAAUAGUCGAGUCUACAAAGGUACCUCGACCUAGUUACCAGCUGCCUUGUAAUCUGAAAACAUGAAGUUGAAAGCGGUGAGCAUAAACUCAGUGAGUGAACAAGAAAGGGAACAAGCAUACCAUAAGGAAUGUUUAACGAAAUCAUGAUGCAUUCAUUUUCUCAAAACAAUGCAAUUGUUUUGGCUCUUUUAAACCCCUCAUGUAAACCCCACAUGAGUAAAUCACUUUACAAAGAUCCAUGCUCAACUAUGGUACCAAAGAAAUGGGAAAUAAGGCAAAAACCCACAAGUUAGCAAAAUGGACAGAAAGUUUCUCGCUGUAGCAAACUUCAUUCUCGCUGCAGCGAGAACCAGGUCUGGUGAAGGCCCUCAAACCCAAGAGUUUCUCGCUGCAACAAGAAUGAAUCUAGCUAUAGCGAGAAUUAUAACAUCAAGGAAAAAGUCUCCUUUUCCCUUAAAACAAGCCAUCCUGCUAAAAUAACAAUAGUAACAUGUAAUUCAUGUAGACUCCCAAAUUUCAACGAAUCAAAUGCUCACAUAUUUGCAUUUACAACCAUAUACCCAUCAUCAUCAUGCACACCAUCCCAUCAUCAUCAUUCCCAACUCAUGCGCACUCCCUACUAGCACAUGGCUAGGUCAUCACUGGGUUAUGCGCACUCCCUACUCGCACAUAACCGAGUCAUCAUCGGCUUAUGCGCACUCCCUACUCGCACAUAGCCGAGUCAGCAACGGAUUAUGUGCACUCCUACUCGCACAUAGCUGAGUCCACAUCAACAUGCAAAGAAGCAUCCAAUGCAUAUCAUGCAUUUUAUCAUAUUGUGAUAACACAUAAACCAUUGUAUAGCACAUUUUCUCAAUAUAAAAUCAUUUUACUAAAAGCUUGUUCCUAAGGUACAUUUUUAAGAAAAGUUGUAUAAAAUCAUUCAAACACUUUGCACAAAACAAUUACAUUCCCAAAAAUAGUUUUGAUAGGCAGUCCACUCACCGGUAUUAGGAGUAGAAAUACUCCUAUUUUCAAUCAGCGGGUAAAGUCCUUUACCCGUAUCCAAUGGCUCACCACCUAACCAUAAUCUAUGACACAUAUUUCAAUUAAAUUAUGUCUAACAGUCAUAAGCUAUUUCAGGCUCGAUAUAUAUAUGAUAUGAGAUUAAAAAUGCACAAGUAGCCAUCUAGACCCGGUAUUGGCCUAAGUUAAUUUUUCAUUCGAUAAACUAGCCAAUGCGUCCAAUUUCACUCCAACUUGCUCCAUUUCUUUUCCAAUCCCUCAAUUCACCAAGCACAAACUAAUUAACACACAAUUAGGCAAAAUUUAUCUUCAUUUUUCUUCUUGAAUCUUUCAGCCAACAAUGGUACACUAACUCCGUGAUUUUUCCUACUUAAUUUCCUCACCAUUAUUCAUUAAUUCCUACACCAAAAACUAUUAUUUCUUAAUCAAAUCACCUAAAAACACUAACAUACCUAAAAAUCAAACUAAUCCAAGAUCAUUCUCUCUCCAUACCUAUUUUGCCUACCACUUAUUCACUAUGAAAUCAUGUUUUUCAAACAUAGAAAUAAGAAAAUAAAGCAUGGGUAUUGUAAAUCUCAAGUAAAAAUAAAGAAUUUUCACUUACCUUGCUUAAUUCCUUGGAAUCCCACACUUUUUCUUCAAUUUUCCCACCUAGGGUUUGUGUUCUUUCCUUUCC